GCCGAAGUGGUGAAACUGGCAAACACGCUAGGUUCAGGGUCUAGUGGGAGCAAUCCCUUGCGGGUUCGAGUCCCGCCUUCGGCA
rnacentral:tRNA from 1 species